GACGAACGCUGGCGGCGUGCCUAAUACAUGCAAGUCGAGCGGACAGAUGGGAGCUUGCUCCCGGAAGUCAGCGGCGGACGGGUGAGUAACACGCGGGCAACCUGCCUGUAAGACUGGGAUAACUUCGGGAAACCGGAGCUAAUACCGGAUACGUUCUUUUCUCGCAUGAGAGAAGAUGGAAAGAUGGUUUCGGCUAUCACUUACAGAUGGGCCCGCGGCGCAUUAGCUAGUUGGUGAGGUAAUGGCUCACCAAGGCAACGAUGCGUAGCCGACCUGAGAGGGUGAUCGGCCACACUGGGACUGAGACACGGCCCAGACUCCUACGGGAGGCAGCAGUAGGGAAUCUUCCGCAAUGGACGAAAGUCUGACGGAGCAACGCCGCGUGAACGAUGAAGGCCUUCGGGUCGUAAAGUUCUGUUGUUAGGGAAGAACAAGUACCAGAAUAACUGCUGGUACCUUGACGGUACCUAACCAGAAAGCCACGGCUAACUACGUGCCAGCCGCCGCAGUAA
rnacentral:rRNA from 1 species